rnacentral:piRNA from 1 species
UGAAGGAAUAGUAACAUGGUGUACAGGA